UGCAACUUUCGACCACACUUGUCCAAUUCUCUCUGUAUAAGCCACCUGAUUAGUUACAAAUCCUUUCAACAUGUUCACAAAGUCAACAUGCCUUUCUCUAUUUAUUCGAUCUAUCUCACUUUGAUUAUUUUCCUUAAUGCGCUCAUAUUCUCUGAUGGCACAGCUUUUGGCAUCUUCAGUGACCCUAAUGGAAUCUUUUAACUCUUCCAACUUUCGAAUUCGAGAUUUAUCACCCCCAAAUAUUUUAGAGGUUGCUGUUUCGAGUUUCUCUGCUCUUGAAUUUAAGGAAGACAAUUCUGAAAUGAGAGUCUGCACUGUCAAUAAAGCACUUGAUCGGUCUGAAAAUGCAUGGUGUAUACCCAACAUUAGACUCAGGUGUUCAUGUAGAAUAUCCAAAUGCUUCACUGUCAGUGAAUUUAACUCCCGAUACAAUCUGCUGGCUUUAACAGCUGCAGUAGCCACAUUUUUCAUAUCAGCAGCCCGUUCUCUCUGAGUAUUCACAGUAGCUCGUUCAUUCUCAAACUUCGUCAACUUAAUAAAUGUAAGCCCAAGUUCUCCAAUUGAAUCCCCCAUAUCUUGCUGAGCUUUAACAAGUGAUUCAGCCUGCUUUGACGCAUUACUAAGUUGCAGCUCAAGAUUGUGCAACCUUUCUUUAUUUUUGAGGAAAUCCUUAUCCUCCUCGUCAAUAGAUGAGUUGGAGGCACCCAAAUCAUUGGCCACAGAUUGCUUCAAUUCUUUUAACAGCCUGAGCAAAUCCCUACCACCUUUAGCAGGGUGCACAACAUCCUGGGGGACAAUGAGAUUUCCGGAUUCUCCAAACAAUUGUUUUGGCAACUUAACUGCUCCAUCCAAUACCCUAGAUGCGACAUCAAUGGUAGUUGGCAAGGGAAGUUUCCCAUCUACUUGCAAAAAAACCCUCAAUUCAUCACUCUUCUUAAUGAGUGGAUGUGCUGCAAGCUUGUGCAAGUACUUUUCCAAUGCCAAUCUUCUUUGCUCAACAAACUCCUGUUUCUGCAUGACUUGACUCUCGACGAUACUUUUAUCUGGCCUUGGAGGAAUAAAAUAACCUCUGUAACCUUCACUCAAUCUCUCUGAUAAAGUAACAAUGUCUUUAAAGCGUCUACGAACAGUGAAAUCGGUUCCUCCAUAAUCAGGUAAAUUGGUUUGUG
rnacentral:misc_RNA from 1 species